AGGGUUUGAUCAUGGCUCAGGAUGAACGCUGGCGGCGUGCCUAACACAUGCAAGUCGAACGAAGCAUCUUACCGGAUUCUUCGGAUGAAAGUUUGGUGACUGAGUGGCGGACGGGUGAGUAACGCGUGGGUAACCUGCCCUGUACAGGGGGAUAACAGCUGGAAACGGCUGGUAAUACCGCAUAAGCGCACGAUGUCGCAUGACAUAGUGUGAAAAACUCCGGUGGUAUAAGAUGGACCCGCGUCUGAUUAGCUAGUUGGUGAGAUAACAGCCCACCAAGGCGACGAUCAGUAGCCGACCUGAGAGGGUGACCGGCCACAUUGGGACUGAGACACGGCCCAG
rnacentral:rRNA from 1 species